CUGGAGAGCUGAAACCAAUACUUAAGAAGUCUCUUCAGAUCAGUGGAGAUAAUGGAAGAAAUCAAGACCAAAUCCCACUCAGGCUCUCUGAAAACCCUCAUGUUACAACAGAGGACACGGCCACCACCUCUGCUAUUAAGGAGGAUAUUGACAACUCUUCCUCCAGGUACA